AGAUUGAACGCUGGCGGCAUGCCUUACACAUGCAAGUCGAACGGCAGCACGGGAGCAAUCCUGGUGGCGAGUGGCGAACGGGUGAGUAAUACAUCGGAACGUGCCCAGUUGUGGGGGAUAGCCCGGCGAAAGCCGGAUUAAUACCGCAUGCGACCUACGGGUGAAAGCGGGGGAUCGCAAGACCUCGCGCUAUUGGAGCGGCCGAUGUCGGAUUAGCUUGUUGGUAGGGUAAAAGCCUACCAAGGCUACGAUCCGUAGCUGGUCUGAGAGGACGACCAGCCACACUGGGACUGAGACACGGCCCAGACUCCUACGGGAGGCAGCAGUGGGGAAUUUUGGACAAUGGGCGAAAGCCUGAUCCAGCCAUGCCGCGUGCGGGAAGAAGGCCUUCGGGUUGUAACCGCUUUGUCAGGAAGAACGGUUACGAGCUAAUAUCUCGACUAAUGACGGUACCUGAAGAAUAAGCACCGGCUAACUACGUGCCAGCAGCCGCGU
rnacentral:rRNA from 1 species